CCUACGGGAGGCAGCAGUGAGGAAUAUUGGUCAAUGGGCGCAAGCCUGAACCAGCCAAGUCGCGUGAGGGAAGACGGUCCUAUGGAUCGUAAACCUCUUUUGCCGGGGAGCAAAGCGCGGUACGAGUACCGGCCAGGAGAGUACCCGAAGAAAAAGCAUCGGCUAACUCCGUGCCAGCAGCCGCGGUAAUACGGAGGAUGCGAGCGUUAUCCGGAUUUAUUGGGUUUAAAGGGUGCGUAGGCGGGUGUGUAAGUCAGCGGUAAAAAUGCGGUGCUCAACGCCGUAUGGCCGUUGAAACUGGAGGCCUUGAGUGAGCGAGAAGUAGGCGGAAUGCGUGGUGUAGCGGUGAAAUGCAUAGAUAUCACGCAGAACUCCGAUUGCGAAGGCAGCAUACCGGCGCUCAACUGACGCUGAGGCACGAAAGCGUGGGGAUCGAACAGGAUUAGAUACCCGGGUAGUC
rnacentral:rRNA from 1 species